AAAAAAAAGAAAGAAAGAAAGAAAAAGAAAAAAAAGGGUUACUCUUGGGGGGGGUGCAGGGACAAACCAAACCAGGGCACAGAUGGGAUGGGAGAGGGCUGGGAGGUGAUGCUGGGAGCUGAGACACACGCAAAUGGCCUGACGGCCGCAGGCUCAGGCCCCUGGGCUGCCCUUGAGAACCGCCUGGUGCUGUGAUUGCAGUAAAGUGUGGAUGAAAAGGAAGAACUCGUUUCACAAGUGCUCUGUGAGUCCAGAACCCCCAUCCCCAAUUAGGCUUAUCAGUCUGCUUUCCUAAGGGGUCCCUGCGAUGCCCACCACGAGCCUUCCAUCCCCUCCUCUUGGGACCCCUCCUGCCCCUCCCCCCAUGCUCUCUGGUUUCCUCCCUUCAAUGGGGCAACUUGCAGUUUGGGGCCAUUCUCCUCCCUCGUCAGUUAUUUACUGAGCCGAACAGCACAUUCAAGCCAGGGUUUCACUUCCCUGCCGCCCUGGCCUGCUCUUUGCUCAGCUGGGCUACGUUUCCAGUUGUCAGCAUUGAGGCAGCUCAGGGCCACAGGCUCCUGUCUCAGAGUCAUGAGAGUGUGGCAUCGACAGGCCACAGAGUCCAUCUCUUUCAACUCCUUAGUUUACAGAUGGGAGGAACUAAGGGUUUACCGGUGGACAGCAAGGAUGCUUCCCAGCCCCCUGACCCCAGGGGACAGGGGGACAGAGGUCCUCGGCUCCACGAUGCUCCUCUCUCCUUGGCAGGUAGGAAACACCCAUCUCUGGUUUUGCGAAAGGCUUUGCGACUCCCGAGAGAAAGCGCCUCACCUAAACGAACAGCUCCACUUUUCAUUCCAUCCUCUGCUCCUUCCACCACACACAUCCCAUGCCGGAAUAACAGAUGGAAUAUAUGCACGACGGGCUUUUCCUCCCCUCUCCCCACAGUUGAUCAAAAGGAGCAGCCUGAAAAAAAAAAACAACUCUGGAAUUUGCUGAAAUUCUGAUUUCUUUCAGCACUUUUAUAGAUUUUAUAACUUAUCUUUUAUUGACUAUGCAAGGUCUCUGGUCCCCAGCAUCUGUUUGUUGCAUCUGGGAAGAAAGAUAAAUUCCCUCUUUUUUUUUUUUUUUUAAAUGCCUCUGAACCACAUUUAAGAGACAGACAAACAAGCAGGUCUUGACAGAAGGAGACGGCGGCACAUCUCUCUUCCUCUUCCCUGGGUCCGGUGCCCACAGGAUGGAAAGAGGAAGAGGUCCUGUCCAGCCUGCGGGGUUUGCCAGGUUCAGGAUGAAGGUGCCUGAGACUUCAUCCCAAAGAAUAGGUGUCCCCCAGACGGGGGACCUGAGGAUGGCCAGUCAUGAGCACAAGCUUUUGGGAGGCUGCCUGAUAUGUACCCCUCCCCCCAACACACAUCAGUUACAAUUUCUCAGACCUAAAGAAUUGUGCCUGGUCACCUAGAGACAUGAUUAUACAUCACGGGACGUCGUUAUAAUAAUGGCUACGGUGCUGCAACUUCUUUAAAGCCUCAGCUGUUCGAUUCAGCCUCUUCAGCUUCACAGCUGUUUAUAAGAUUAAUAGACUCUGAUGAGGAAUGGACUCUCCCACUGGAGAAGAAAAGAGAGAGCGUCUGCUUUUACCCUCACAGAAGUAGCACUCCCAUCGUGAGAUGGUGUCUGUACCCCUGACAGCCCAGGUGACAAGGAGGCAAGGGUGGCGGGGAGCAGCCCUGGGGAGGGUGGUCUGGGAGAACACGGGUGCUCCCCUUGUCCCAGAGGCUGUACUGGCCCCCGUGACGGGAGCCAACUCUGCAGCUGGGGACACGGCCUGGGCUGGGAGGCAGCCACAGGAGAAGGGGGCCCCAGGAAGGAAGGAAGAGGAAGGACAGGGACAUGGAUCCACGGGGGACCCACCGGGGGCUGCCAGGAUGCCUGCAGCUCCUCGUUCCCUUUCUGGGGUCCCCAAAUCUGGCACCAGGACCUGCAGAAGGACCUCUCCUGUGCCACAUGGGAAUCCCGCUUUCAAGGCAAAUACCAGCUGGUAAAGAUGGCAUGGCGAGUCUUCCUAAGUCUCAGAGCCAGGGUGUCACCCGCGUGGGCCCUGGGGAGCCAGUGUGGGCCUUCCUGGGGUUGAAGGUCAAUGGAAACGAAGGCCUUGGGUGAUCGGGUCAGGGAAGAAGGCACCAUGACACUGGGGAGGCAGGAGCCAGGCGCAGACACUGGAGGAAGCUCAGAGACCAGCGUGGAGGGAGGUGCGCCUGGACCAGGCGGCCAGGAGGGUGGCCCUCCAAGGCCCAGGCUCCAUCCGAUGCAGUCCCUCAUUGGCAGUUGGAACAGAACAACCAGCCACUUAGUGGUGACUUGAAUAAAGGAAGGAAGUCUUCCUAAAAGAUGGAAACAGGAAGUAGACUUCUGACUGUCAGCUUGUCUUUCUGCUGCUCCCCCAACUGUGCCUCUUUUCUUGGCUACUUUAAUGUUCCAGAAAGAGACCAGGCUCCUUACAGUCUUAAACAGAGCGAAACAGAGCACCCGAAGCCAGGAGGCUGAACUGGAGAGAGGCUUGUUUUCUGCUCUUGGAUGGGGGGCGCCCCCGUCCUCAACCUCACUCUGCGGUUUGAGAGAAGCGUGGAUGCACCAUUGGUUCGCGGGGUGUGUGCCCCUUUCUUUGCCUGAAACAACUGCCCUUAGCUGGACCACCAUGGCAUCUGCUUCUUGCUCAGCUCCCGGAAAACCCCAAGCGGACUGCCAAGAUCAGCCUUAUCUCUGCCUCUAUUUUCCUCUUAACUGACCGCAAGCAGACCCCAACGGGAGGAAGGAGGGUAAGGCCCAUAGUAAUGUGGCCAUAGUUCACACAGCUGCUUGGUGAAACCUGGGGCAAAGGACCAAAGCCACAUCAUGGACUUGUAAGCAUCAUCCUUCUCCAGACAUGAACCCCCCUCCCAUCCGUCUCCAGGAGCCACUUGACCUGAUGGAUAAAACGGGCUGUGGUACUCAGAACAAGCCCCUCCGCUCCAGCCCUGUAAACUCCAUUCAAUCCUUCCUAUCAUCUUCAGCGAAAAAGAAGCAGGGCCUUCCUGACAGCAGAGAGUGCCGAGAAGAAGAAGGAGGAGGAGGAGGUGGGGGAGGAGGAGGAGGAGGAAGGAGGAGGAAGAAGAAAGAAGAAGAAGAAGAAAAAAACAACCCCAACACCUUCUUGUAUCUAAACCCGCUCGGUGCUAAUUUAACGUGGCAACGAGAUAAAAGUUCGCCCGGGCUGCUGUCAACCUCACUGGAUCGGAAUGCCGUCUACUUAGCAUAGGAGUCAAACAAUUCCCUGGCAAUAGAUUGCUUUCCACUGUAGGUCUACUAGAUAAAUAGAAAAGUAAUUAACAGAGCGCCAUGGCAGAUGUAUCAGGCGGAAUUUCAUUAGAGCGGAAGAACGGAGGGAACCACGAAGUCGCCGCGUGUCUCGGCCUUUGGUGGUGAUGGAGUUUUCCUGCUGCCUCUCUCUGGGCCGGACAUGUCCUUUCUGCCUCUCCUCCAGAAAAGAAAAUUCUGAAUUUCCUAUUAUAUCUUCACCUUAAUCAACGGGCCAAGAAAAAUCUUAAGUGCCUGAAAUUGGUCCAAAAAUAAAUAAUUCUCCUCAUUUUGCCAUUGAAUUAUUUGGGUCCUAAAACGUAUGGAUGAUUAUAUCUCUUUCAUUGUAUUUUCUUUCUUUUCUUUUUUGCUUGAUUAUUAAAUACCUGAUUUCAAAAUG